rnacentral:pre_miRNA from 1 species
CUCGGGCCGGGGGUCCCUCAGCCCGGAUUGUGAGAGGGCGCAGGCCAGGCCGAGGGAUCUCACUGGUGCACG